GAUGAACGCUGGCGGCGUGCUUAACACAUGCAAGUCGAGCGAAGCAGUUAAGUUGAUUUCUUCGGAUUGAUUCUUAACUGACUGAGCGGCGGACGGGUGAGUAACGCGUGGGUAACCUGCCUCAUACAGGGGGAGUAACAGUUGGAACGGCUGCUAAUACGCAUAAGCGCACAGUACCGCAUGGUACCGUGUGAAAAACUACCGGUGGUAUGAGAUGGACCCG
rnacentral:rRNA from 1 species